rnacentral:rRNA from 1 species
AGAGUUUGAUCAUGGCUCAGGACGAACGCUGGCGGCGUGCUUAACACAUGCAAGUCGAACGGUGAUCCCGCUUCGGUGGGGGAUCAGUGGCGAACGGGUGAGUAACACGUGAGCAACCUGCCCCUGACUCUGGGAUAACUCCGGGAAACCGGGGCUAAUACCGGAUAUGACGUGCCUGCGCAUGCGGGUGUGUGGAAAGAUUUUUCGGUUGGGGAUGGGCUCGCGGCCUAUCAGCUUGUUGGUGGGGUGAUGGCCUACCAAGGCGACGACGGGUAGCCGGCCUGAGAGGGCGACCGGCCACACUGGGACUGAGACACGGCCCAGACUCCUACGGGAGGCAGCAGUGGGGAAUAUUGCACAAUGGGCGCAAGCCUGAUGCAGCGACGCCGCGUGAGGGAUGAAGGCCUUCGGGUUGUAAACCUCUUUCAGCGCCGAAGAAGCGAAAGUGACGGUAGGCGCAGAAGAAGCACCGGCUAACUACGUGCCAGCAGCCGCGGUAAUACGUAGGGUGCAAGCGUUGUCCGGAAUUAUUGGGCGUAAAGAGCUCGUGGGCGGUUUGUCGCGUCUGCUGUGAAAACUCGGGGCUUAACUCCGGGCUUGCAGUGGGUACGGGCAGACUAGAGUGCGGUAGGGGAGACUGGAAUUCCUGGUGUAGCGGUGAAAUGCGCAGAUAUCACGAGGAACACCGGUGGCGAAGGCGGGUCUCUGGGCCGUAACUGACGCUGAGGAGCGAAAGCGUGGGGAGCGAACAGGAUUAGAUACCCUGGUAGUCCACGCCGUAAACGUUGGGCGCUAGGUGUGGGGCUCUUUCCACGAGUUCCGUGCCGCAGCUAACGCAUUAAGCGCCCCGCCUGGGGAGUACGGCGCAAGGCUAAAACUCAAAUGAAUUGACGG